rnacentral:misc_RNA from 1 species
UUUUUUUUCGUCUUUUAGCUUUUCCACUUUUUCCGUAUUUUGAAUUUUGAUUCGUUUGAUUCGUUUCUUCCAAUUCAACAAUAUCUACUUUUCCGGCGAUCAACGGUUGAUCUUUAUUUCAAUCAUGGGAGCUUCUCACAGUCGCGAAGGUCUAGAACUUUCCGAUGAAUCGGAUUACGAGGACGAAGAGGGAAGUAGCAGAACAGAAAGUGAAGAACAGUAUGAAGACGCCGCUGACGAUCAUGCUUCGAUGAGGACUCCACAGGUGAGUAACAGAAACCUUGAUGAAUUGGAUUCCAAACUGAAAGCGCUAAAACUUAAGUAUGGUUCGCCGGUGACGCCGACUAAUCUAAGAAAUGCGGUGAAGUUGUACUUGCAUGUUGGCGGUAAUACGCCGAAAGCGAAAUGGAUAAUCUCGCAGAAGCUGACUAACUAUGAGUUUGUUAAAACACUGAAAAUCGGAGGUGAUGAUGAAGACGAUUACGGAUCGUCAAGUGGAGGAGAUGAGGGCUUUUGGGUUUUGAAGGUGGGGAAGAAGAUUAAGGUUAGGGUUUCGACUGAUAUGCAGCUGAAGAUGUUUGGAGAUCAGAGGAGGGUUGAUUUUGUGGAUAACGGAGUAUGGGCUUUGAAGUUUUUUGUGGAUGACGAGUAUAGGAAUUUCAUUACCAAGUUCCAGGACUGCUUAUUUGAGAAUGUGUAUGGAAUGGAGGCUACGGAGGCUAACAAAGUGAAGAUUUAUGGGAAGGAGUUUAUUGGGUGGUUAAAACCUGAGGAAUCAGAUGAUGCAAUGUGGGAAGAUGCGGAUUCUGGAGUCUGGAAGGGUAGUGGAAAGAGUCCCAUGACACCGGCUAGGGAUAGGCAAGAUUUGCUGGAGGAAUUUGAGGAAGCUGCUACUGGUGGAGGAAUACAGAGUUUGGCAUUAGGGGCUUUAGAUAAUAGUUUUCUUGUGAAUGAUUCAGGAGUUCAAGUUGUGAAAAAUUUCAGCCACGGAAUCCACGGGAAGGGUGUUUAUGUGAAAUUUGAUGAGAAGGAUAAGUGGUCCGGAGGCUCAACUCCCAAAAAGGCUCUUUUGAUGCGUGGAGAAACCAAUAUGAUGCUAAUGAGUCCUUUUAAGGAAGGGAAGCCCCGUUCAACUGGACUUCACCAAUUGGAUAUCGAGACUGGUAAAGUUGUUACUGAAUGGAAGUUUGAGAAGGACGGGACUGAUAUUACCAUGAAGGAUAUAACAAAUGAUACCAAAGGGUCACAGUUGGAUCCUUCUGAAUCGACAUUUUUGGGUUUGGAUGAUAACCGGCUGUGUCAGUGGGACAUGCGUGAUAAGAAGGGAAUUGUUCAGACAUUAGCAAAUACGAGUUCUCCAGUGUUGAAUUGGACUCAGGGGCAUCAGUUUUCAAGAGGAACGAAUUUUCAGUGCUUUGCCACGACUGGUGAUGGCUCCAUUGUAGUUGGAUCACUUGAUGGGAAGAUUCGCUUGUACUCGAAGACCUCUAUGAGGCAAGCAAAGACUGCAUUCCCUGGCCUUGGCUCUCCAAUUACACAUGUUGAUGUUACUUACGAUGGCAAAUGGAUACUGGGCACGACUGAUACAUAUUUGAUCUUAAUAUGCACUUUGUUUACGGAUAAAGCUGGGAAGACCAAAACUGGUUUUACUGGUCGAAUGGGAAAUAAAAUCCCAGCUCCAAGAUUAUUAAAGCUGACUCCUGUGGAUGCGCAUAUAGCUGGGGCAAACAACGAGUUCCAUGGUGGACAUUUCUCUUGGGUUACUGAAAGUGGAAAACAAGAACGCCAUUUGGUUGCAGCAGUAGGCAAAUUUAGCGUGAUAUGGAAUUUCCAACAGGUGAAGGACAGUGCUCAUCGUUGCUAUCAGAAUCAGCAAGGCCUGAAGAGUUGUUAUUGUUACAAGAUAGUGCCCAAGGAUGAAUCCAUUAUUGAGAGUCGUUUCAUGCAUGACAAGUAUGCUGUCAGUGACUCACCGGAGGCUCCCCUGGUUGUAGCAACGCCAAUGAAAGUUACUUCCACUGGGGGAUGGCGUUCCCGUAAUUCCGUCGACGGUGGAUUGUACCUUGGCUUCAAUGAACUACCUGGAUGAUCCGGAUUAUAACUUGGCUGAGAAGCUGGUACCCGACCCGAGAGAUGAGGAGGCGUUGACCCGACCCUUGAUUUUGCAAGUGAACCGUUUUAAGUGUGGUGGGUGGGUUUUCGGAACGGCGGUUCAUCACGCCAUGUGUGAUGGAAUGGGUUCGACGCUGUUUUUUCAUGCUAUGGCGGAGAUUGCUCGUGGGGAGAAGGGGAUGAAGAUUGAACCGGUGUGGGACCGGUCGAAUUUGCUUGGACCGAGGAAUCCACCACGAGUUGAAUUUCCGGUUCAUGAGUUCCUCAGUUUGGAUAGGGAUUCGUGUCCAUACUUGGAAUCAGGUAAAUCGGCAGUUCGAGAGUGCUUUGAGGUGAAAGAUGAGUGGUUGGAUAGACUAAAGGGGUUUCUUCAUGAGCAAUCUGCAGGUUCAAAGUAUACAACUUUUGAAGCUUUGGGAGCUUUCAUAUGGCGAGCAAAGGUAAAGGCUUGUAAAAUGUCAGAUGAUGAGACAGUGAAGUAUGCUUAUCUAACCAAUAUCAGAAGAAGAGUGAAGCCACCAUUGCCAGCAGGUUACUGGGGCAAUGGCUGUGUGCCAAUAUACGUUCAGCUCCUCGCAAAAGACAUCAUCAAUGAACCUAUCUGGAAAGCAGCAGACGCGAUAAAGAAGAGCAAGGACAUCAUCACAGAUGAGUAUGUUCGUUCGUUCAUUGAUUUUCAGGAGCUGCAUUAUGUUGAAGGGAUCACAUCAGGGAAUAGAGUGAGUGCAUUUACAGAUUGGCGGCAUGUAGGCCACGAGACGGUUGAUUUUGGAUGGGGUGGCCCUGUGACUGUCUUUCCUCUGUCUAGACACUUAGUUGGGAGUGUUGAACCUUGCUUUUUCUUGCCUUAUUCUUCUGCAAUUCAAGGUAAGAAAGAUGGUUUCAAAGUUUUGGUCUGUCUGCAACAAGAAGCCAUGCCUGUUUUCAUGGAAGAGAUGGAAAAGUUGGAGCAUGGACUUGCUUGAUUGAUUUUACUAUAUAUAUAUGUGUGUGUUAUAUUAAACUAAUAAAAACAACAUUUACAAGUAGAGACCAAAUUUGGCAUAUGUAUUACUACAUUUUCGACUGCUAAAUGUUCUUUCAAGUAAAUUACAAUGAAGAAAUGUAAUCCUUUACAUAAUUUAAC